GAAAACCUGGAAACUAUCGUUGGAUUGAAAAAUAGAAGUCUGAGAUAUGUUCACGUCAUUACGAGUAAAAAAUUUACUAGUAGAUUCACUCAUGAGUAAAAAUUAUGGUGACGUGGACGAAUCUCAUACGUUCAUUUUUCGAUUCAACGGUAGUUUCCAAGUUUUU
rnacentral:pre_miRNA from 1 species